UACAGAGGUCCCAAGCGUUGUUCGGAUUCACUGGGCGUAAAGGGUGCGUAGGCGGUCGGGUAAGUCUGAUGUGAAAUCUCAGAGCUCAACUCUGAAACUGCAUUGGAUACUAUUCGGCUUGAGGUCUGGAGGGGGGACUGGAAUUCCUGGUGUAGCGGUGAAAUGCGCAGAUAUCAGGAGGAACACCGGUGGCGAAGGCGGGUCUCUGGGCCGAUACUGACGCUGAGGAGCGAAAGCGUGGGGAGCGAACAGG
rnacentral:rRNA from 1 species